UGACAACAACUCCAACUAGGAGUGGCAAAGGGCCAGCUUGUAGCCUCCUUUUUUGAAGAAUGGUCCACUAUGAGCCAAACUGCUGAAAAUCACUCAGCCCGAGUUUGGGGGAGUUGGAGCCAUGUGGGGUUAAAAAGGGGCUCGACUGUGGUUCCCCUCACGCUGUCAAUAAUGCUCGGGCCUCCCGGGUCGUCCUCGCCUUGGCUGAUGGAUGUGCUCACACCUCCGAGAGGCAGACCGCUCCCAUGACGUCGUCGACGUCUUAAUGGCCGGAGAAGUAAAACGUGGCAUUUUCCUUGGAGGUUAAAAAGAAUGCGUAGUUCGGCGGCGGUUCUACAGGGCUCUCCUCUAAAUGUUCCUUCCCGCAUUGUGUGCCAUGUUCAUGGCCCAAAGUCCCAG